GUUAACGUUAGUUAACAUCCAGUAACCUGAAUACCGAUGAAAUCACUCUACUUUCUUUCUACACUUGUCUCAUGUUUUAGGGAAACCUGAAGUCAUACAUUUCUCCUUUACCGAAGCUGUGAAAACAGAUUCGUUGUAAUACGCAAUGACAACCCCAAUCGUUGCGUAUUUUUUUUGCUUAAAAUUCAG
rnacentral:sRNA from 1 species